UCAGGGACUGUGUCUUUCGUUGCUGGGUGACCAAUUCCUGGCACAUAGGAGACUGUCACGGACUGUUUGUUGAGUGAAUGAACAGCCAUGAUAUGCUUGCGCAAGCCCAGGAUGAAAUGAGAAUUUCCGAAGGGAGAACUGAACAGUGACCAAGUCCUACUGGCUUGAUCUCCAAAGUAUAUCCAGUCACCAACAGCUUCUCAUCACCUGCGUACCUCCUACCCUGGACCACGUCACCAUCAUCUCUCUCUUGGACCACUGCAGUAGCCUCCAGUCUGAUUUCUCUGCUUCCGCCCUUGCACUCUGCAGUCUGCUUUCCAUACCACGUCAGAAGGAUCUCAAAAGUCCCAGGAAACUUGUUAUCGAAAGAUGCGAGGGAUCGGAAUGUAUAAUACAAAGCAGACACGCAGAGAAGAAUGAGUUUUAUGGCGCAGGAAGAGGACUAACUUUAUUGCCUAUAAAAUAAAGUCCACAUGCUACAAGUUGG